rnacentral:rRNA from 1 species
AGCAGCCGCGGUAAUUCCAGCUCCAAUAGCGUAUAUUAAAGUUGUUGCAGUUAAAAAGCUCGUAGUUGAAUUUCGGGAUCAGUUGGUUGGUCAUGCCUAUGGUAUGCACUGGCUUUACUGGUUCCUCCUUCUUGAUGAUCUGUAAUGUCAUUAAUUUGGUGUUGCAGGGAGUCAGGACUGUUACUUUGAAAAAAUUAGAGUGUUUAAAGCAGGCAUACGCUUGAAUACAUUAGCAUGGAAUAAUGAAAUAGGACGUUCGAUCCUAUUUUGUUGGUUUCUAGGAUUGACGUAAUGAUUAAUAGGGAUAGUUGGGGGCAUUAGUAUUCAAUUGUCAGAGGUGAAAUUCUUGGAUUUAUUGAAGACUAACUACUGCGAAAGCAUUUGCCAAGGAUGUUUUCAUUAAUCAAGAACGAAAGUUAGGGGAUCGAAGACGAUCAGAUACCGUCGUAGUCUUAACCAUAAACUAUGCCGACUAGGGAUCGGAUGAUGUUAUUUUUAAUGACUCA